rnacentral:rRNA from 1 species
GAUGAACGCUCGCGGCAGGCCUAACACAUGCAAGUCGAGGGAGGAGCUUUCGCGCUUCGACCGGCGUACGGGUGCGUAACGCGUAUACAAUCUGCCUUUCACAUAGGGAUAGCCCGAAGAAACUUGGAUUAAUACCUAAUGGUAUAUAGAGGUGGCAUCACCUUUAUAUUAAAGCUGAGGCGGUGAAAGAUGAGUAUGCGUUCUAUUAGCUAGUUGGAGAGGUAACGGCUCCCCAAGGCGACGAUAGAUAGGGGUUCUGAGAGGGAUAUCCCCCACACUGGUACUGAGAUACGGACCAGACUCCUACGGGAGGCAGCAGUGGGGAAUAUUGGACAAUGGUCGGAAGACUAAUCCAGCCAUGCCGCGUGCAGGAAGACGGCCUUAUGGGUUGUAAACUGCUUUUGCAGGGGAAGAAUAAGGACUACGCGUAGUUUGAUGACGGUACUCUGCGAAUAAGCAUCGGCUAACUCCGUG